CACUUGGGCAAAACCGCACCAGUAUCUGCAGCCUUCAUAGCAUUGGCCUCCUUCAGCACUUGAGCUGCCCUGUCAACUUGUAAAGCCAAGGAAUUUGGGGAAUUCAAGAGGUUAACUAUUUCAGACUUGCUCAUCUCCAACAGCAUUCCAGUCAUCUUUCCUGCAAGCUCAGGCUACACGCACGGGAGAAUCAAUUGAUUGUGAAAUUAACCAUGGCACAGAUAGACAAACAUGCACAUACAACGCUUGCAGAAAAGCACAGUUAGAUAUGUAGAGGUUUCCCACAGAUUGAGAUAAUAUUUCUAGAAGAGUUUUAGAAUCAAUGAACCUGAAGAUUCUGGACAAGAGAGGGCAGAAGAUUCACGAGGUCUUUCUUGGAGUUACUAGGAGAUCUUGCUGCGCUAAGACAUGCUGUGGCUUGUAACCCUUUGGAGGUUCAGAUCUCGAUCACGAAGAUUAGAUGUUGUUCGUUUCACAAACUGCAAUGCAAUUUUAACAGAAAGCAGGAAACAACUGAGCAAAAGAAAACAACAGCAUUAUGCAAAGCUUAAGCAGCACCACUAGGAAAUGGGUUUCAGAUUGGUAAAGAUUUUUUUCUUUAAAGAUCAAUCUGGACAAUUAACCACAACAGUCCAAGAGCUUCAAAAAAUGGUAGCAUUAUAUGCAGUUCAUGCUCUGGCUAGUCAUUUUCUCAACAAAUAAGAAAAAACAAAGUAUACAAUGAGAUGUUAGAAGCACAGUAACAGUGACUACUACUUUUUCUUCAAAAGAGAAGUUAGAGCAUACGUGAGGUUGGAAGGACUGUGCUGUUGGGUUCUGAGUGCUUUGGUAUAUUUGUCCCGUUGAAAUCUGUGGUUUUACAAGCUAUUAAGAAUAACAACUGAUAAACUUAGCUCAGUUAAUUUCAAAAA